ensembl:processed_transcript Gm16046 predicted gene 16046
GAACAAAACUGCUUUUGUUGGUGGAGCGAGGUGGUCCCCGGUUGGUGGAGCGAGGUGGUCCCCGGUUAGCAUUGAGGCAGAUUCUUAACAUCCUCCUCUGUCUUUAGUUGGAGAAGGGGGGGGGGGGAAGAGCCACAGGGAGACCUACUGGAGGUUCUUCAGCCUCUGAGAUCAGGCACUACUGAGGCUGAAAGAGCAGCUGAAACAGGACCGUCCGUCUGCACCCCAGUGAUGAGCCCAGGUGAGCUCUGCGCUUCGGGGGCUCUUUGUUCCUUGAGAGGCAUGGAGGACUGUGCUCCAGUGACUGGGAAGGAAGAACAUGCCAGCCCCACGCGCUUCACCUAGCCCACAAGGACAGCCCGUAUGCAGUGUUCACACA